CACGCAGCUUCAACAAACGGAAACCAAAAUCGCACUAAUAAGAUUCAUCUCUGUGCACACAAACACACAUAGGAUUCCCGAUUUAUUUUCGGAGAAGAAGGAGCAGCUUAUUACCUCUGGUUUUCUUUAUCGUCGGUGUCGGUUUUCUUUAUCGUCGGUGUCGGUGUCGAAACUCUCUGACUUGCUCCGAGCUUUUGUUUCAGAGACUAUCAAUGAAUACGUAACGCGCAUCACACGUUUGGUGAAUCAAAUCAAAUCUUGCGAAGAAUCAUUGUGGAGUAGAAUGUUGUGUCGAAAAUCUUGCGUUCUUUAAAACCAAGAUUCAACAAUAUCAUAGUGGCUAUCGAAGAAUCGAAUGAUCUUUUAUUAUUGAGCAAAGAGGAGCUUUUGAGACCGUUUUAUGGAAAACAACUUAUGGGAAAAACACUUCUGGAAGUCUGGAAAAACAAACUGUUGAAGAGGAAACCGAUUACCUAGUUUGGGGAAAUCGAUUUCUUGAAGCUUUUUUAGUUUUCUGUUUCAAUUUUCAGUUGUGGAAAUCAAUUACUCCGUUUAUGGAAAUCGAUUUCCUGCGCGAUAUUUUUUUUUUUGUUUUUAGCUGUUUUAUGGGUCUGUUUGAUUCCUUGUUGUAUUGUUUAGUUUCCUAUACAUACCCCUCAUGUAAUAUGGUCAGAAGUUAGUGCCA